rnacentral:other from 1 species
ACUUCCAGAGCCGUAACGAAAAGCUGCGUGAAAUUAAGUCAGUCAGGUGAGAUUUUUGCGGGCGUUUGGCUUGUGGCGGUGAUGUUGUGUUUGCAAUUGGUCCGGCAUUUUGCUGACUUGGUAGCAUCGCUACUUUUAUUCUUCAGAUUCACCCUGUCUGUCCACAAAGAUUAUUAGCACCGCAACUGCGGUGCUUUUUUAU